AGCAGCCGCGGUAAUUCCAGCUCCAAUAGCGUAUAUUAAAGUUGUUGCAGUUAAAAAGCUCGUAGUUGAAUUUCGGGGUUAGUAGGUUGGUCAUGCCUCUGGUAUGUACUGGUCUCACUGAUUCCUCCUUCCUGAUGAGCCGUAAUGCCAUUAAUUUGGUGUUGCGAGGAAUCUGGACUGUUACUUUGAAAAAAUUAGAGUGUUUAAAGCAGGCUAACGCUUGAAUACAUUAGCAUGGAAUAAUAAAAUAGGACGGCAUGAUUCUAUUUUGUUGGUUUCUAGGAUUGACGUAAUGAUUAAUAGGGAUAGUUGGG
rnacentral:rRNA from 1 species